CCUACUGGUGGCAGCAGUGGGGAAUAUUGGGCAAUGGGCGAAAGCCUGACCCAGCAAAGUCGCGUGAAGGAAGACGGCUUUCGGGUUGUUAACUUCUUUUUACAGGGAAGUGCAGAAGUCGGUGCCUGUCGAAUAAGCCACGUCUCACUACGUGCCAGCAGCCGCGGUAAUACGUAGGUGGCAGGCGUUAUCCGGAUUUACUGGGUUUAAAGGGCGUGUAGCCGGGCUGACAAGUCAGAUGUGAAAUCCUGGGGCUCAACCCUCGAAUUGCAGUUGAAACUGUUGGUCUUGAGUAUCGGAGAGGCAGGCGGAAUUCAUAGUGUAGCGGUGAAAUGCGUAGAUAUUAGGAGGAACCCCGAUUGCGAAGGCAGCUUACUAAACUGUGACUGACAUUGAUGCUCGAAAGUGUGGGUAUCAAACAGGAUUAGAUACCCGGGUAGUC
rnacentral:rRNA from 1 species